rnacentral:lncRNA from 1 species
AACUCUGCAGGGAAGAAUAUAGGGAAAUAAACGCCUUCAUCUCUCUCUUGUCCCACCCGCAGAGCUCCUUCUGGGAUUCUCUAUUGGCUGAACUCAGCCAGAAGCUGCCAAGGGAGACCCCCACAACUGGAUGCAGCCCACUGAAGUCAGCUUCCUGGGGUGCGUAGCUGAAGGUAGCAGGGAGCAAAAAGAAUCUGAAGGGGAAGUGAACAAUGUAGAGCGUAUCUGUGCUGAAGACGUAAGGAGAGAGUGGAGGUCAGAAGCUGGCAUGGUCCCUGGUGCAUGUAUCAGCCGCUAAAGCUGGAGUGGAUGAAUCAGAACUUUCCCCAUGGGAGCAUUUAUAAAAAGGGGACACCCAGCGCAGAAGAUGUUUUCCAGGGAGAUCUCGGGGAGCCCAACAAGCCAAGAAGAGCAGAGCAAAGCAUUCCAAGGAAGGACUCUAAGUCUGCAACCGAGCACACACGAGCACAAGGAAAGACCAUGUGAAUACACAGCAAGAACGUGGUGCUCUGCAAGUCAGAAACAGACCCGUCAUCAGACACCAAAUCAGCCAGCACCUUGAUCUAGGAUUUCUGGCCUCCAAAACAGUGAGAAAAUAAAAUUCUGUUGUUUAAGCCAUG